AUUAGAAUGGCUCAGACCGAACGCUCCGGGCAGGCUUAACACAUGCAAGUCGAAGGAGAAGCAGGGCUUCGAGCAUGUGGACACUGGCGGACGGGUGAGUAACGCGUGGGGACCUGCCCUGGGGUGGGGGACAACCGCUGGAAACGGCGGCUAAUACCGCAUACGCCCUUUGGGGGAAAGCUUUAUGCGCCCUGGGAUGGUCCCGCGUAAGAUUAGCUUGUUGGUGGUGUAACGGCCUACCAAGGCUUUGAUCCGUAGCUGGUCUGAGAGGAUGAUCAGCCACACUGGAACUGAGACACGGUCCAGACUCCUACGGGAGGCAGCAGUGGGGAAUAUUGGACAAUGGGGGCAACCCUGAUCCAGCCCCACCGCGUGGGUGAAGAAGGCCUUAGGGUUGUAAAACCCUUUCAGCGGGGAAGAUGAUGACGGUACCCGCAGAAGAAGCCCCGGCUAACUCCGUGCCAGCAGCCGCGGUAAUACGGAGAGGGCUAGCGUUGUUCGGAAUUACUGGGCGUAAAGGGCGUGUAGGCGGCUUGUCGAGUCAGACGUGAAAGACCCGGGCCCAACCUGGGAACUGCGUUUGAUACUGGCAGGCUAGAGGUUGGAAGAGGAGAGUGGAAUUCCCAGUGUAGAGGUGAAAUUCGUAGAUAUUGGGAAGAACACCAGUGGCGAAGGCGGCUCUCUGGUCCACACCUGACGCUGAGGCGCGAAAGCGUGGGGAGCAAACUGGAUUAGAUACCCUGGUAGUCCACGCCGUAAACGAUGUGUGCUAGACGUCGGAUGUUCAGCAUUCGGUGUCGUCGCUAACGCAUUAAGCACACCGCCUGGGGAGUACGGCCGCAAGAUUAA
rnacentral:rRNA from 1 species